rnacentral:tRNA from 1 species
GCCCCGAUAGCUCAAACAGGACAGAGCGACUGCCUCCUAAGCAGUAGGCUGGCCGUUCGAAUCGGCCUCGGGGCA